rnacentral:rRNA from 1 species
CGAAAGCGUAGCUAAUACCGCAUACGCCCUACGGGGGAAAGCAGGGGAUCGCAAGACCUUGCACUAUUAGAGCGGCCGAUAUCGGAUUAGCUAGUUGGUGGGGUAACGGCUCACCAAGGCGACGAUCCGUAGCUGGUUUGAGAGGACGACCAGCCACACUGGGACUGAGACACGGCCCAGACUCCUACGGGAGGCAGCAGUGGGGAAUUUUGGACAAUGGGGGAAACCCUGAUCCAGCCAUCCCGCGUGUGCGAUGAAGGCCUUCGGGUUGUAAAGCACUUUUGGCAGGAAAGAAACGUCAUGGGCUAAUACCCCGUGAAACUGACGGUACCUGCAGAAUAAGCACCGGCUAACUACGUGCCAGCAGCCGCGGUAAUACGUAGGGUGCAAGCGUUAAUCGGAAUUACUGGGCGUAAAGCGUGCGCAGGCGGUUCGGAAAGAAAGAUGUGAAAUCCCAGAGCUUAACUUUGGAACUGCAUUUUUAACUACCGAGCUAGAGUGUGUCAGAGGGAGGUGGAAUUCCGCGUGUAGCAGUGAAAUGCGUAGAUAUGCGGAGGAACACCGAUGGCGAAGGCAGCCUCCUGGGAUAACACUGACGCUCAGC